rnacentral:lncRNA from 1 species
CCUGUACUCUGUAGCUGGGCGACAGAGUAAUUAAAAGUAGGUGCUUUCUUAUUAUUUCCUCAUUUAUCUCGGGCUUCUGAUUUCAUCAUGAUGGUGUUUCUUCUUUUCCUUGUUCCAAUGUGAGAAUAUUUUGCUUUGACAAGAGGCAGGAGCAAUUAGUCAUUGAAUGGAACUCACUAGUUUAGCUUUGUGCCAUAUAUUACUAUUACAAUGUCUCUCCUCAAAUACCCAUCAUCAUUUCUUUAGACUUUGGCUUAAAUAAGAGAAUGAUGAAGGAUGUGAUGCUGACUAGGAUAAUAUCCCAUAAAGAUGGAGAAGAAACUGUUUGGAAUUUUGUUUUCUGUAUUUUCUCCUUCUCUUCUUCCCUUUCUCCUACUGUUGCCCAGAUCAGUGAAUCUUUGUGCAAUAAAAACUGUUGAGAACAGUUAAGCAUAACCAACUGACCUAACAACUGCCUCUUGAUAUCCUAUGCAACAUUCCAUAUUCCUCUCCCCCCCCCCCCCCACAACCAAUCUAAAGGCAAGGGGCUCUGUGAAAUGUCUAUUUUUACAGAGGCUUGCCAGAAUGUUAACUACUCCUAGCCCAUUGCUGGUACCACACAUGUAGGCUUUAUUAAUUUCUGACUUUCCAAUGAAAGACUGAAUUCAUUUUAUAAGAAAGCAAGAAGUUCAUCUCUAUAACAUUCUUAAUCCUCUAAAUAAUACAAAAAGUAGCACAUAAUUUUUCUACCUUUCAUACUUUUCUAGUCCUCUGAUUAAUACCUCUUGUCAAUUUUUUAUUACUCAUCUUUUGUAAUGUGUCCCAGGAACAUCCUAUCCCCAAACCAAAGAUGCUAAGCCUGUCUGUAUUGUGGGCAGAUUUUUCUCUUUGGUUCUCCACCUUAGAAUUUUACUACUGGGAAAUUUCUAAACUAAGACUUGGGGAACUGAAGUUGAAACCCCUUGCCUUUCUCUCAUGGAAAUUAUCUGUAAACUGGCUGCCCCAUAAUUCAUUUAAGAUGUGUGGCAGAAAGAGAGAGCCCAUGGUGCUGAAGAGUUUCUCUAUGGAGUGACUGCCUCAAGGACCAGGGAAUUUGAGUCUUCAUAUUGAGUUCAAACUGCUGGAUCAGUGGCUAAUUGUGAAAAGACUUUAGCAGGAUUACAGCAAAAUUAUGAUGCUCCAACGGAAAGAGAACUGAGCCUCAGCUUCAAAACCAUCAGGAUCAAAUUGUCAGGAAGCUGAAUAAAGUUAGUAAAGUUUUUAACA